GACGAACGCUGGCGGCGUGCUAAUACAUGCCAGUCGAGCGGACGAAUCGAAAGCUUGCUUUUGAUUCGUUAGCGGCGGACGGGUGAGUAACACGUGGGCAACCUGCCCUGUAGACGGGGAUAACACCGAGAAAUCGGUGCUAAUACCGGAUAACACGAAAUGUCGCAUGACGUUUCGUUGAAAGACGGCGCAAGCUGCCGCUACAGGAUGGGCCCGCGGCGCAUUAGCUAGUUGGUGAGGUAACGGCUCACCAAGGCGACGAUACGUAGCCGACCUGAGAGGGUGAUCGGCCACACUGGGACUGAGACACGGCCCAGACUCCUACGGGAGGCAGCAGUAGGGAAUCUUCCGCAAUGGACGAAAGUCUGACGGAGCAACGCCGCGUGAGCGAAGAAGGCCUUCGGGUCGUAAAGCUCUGUUGUUAGGGAAGAACAAGUAACGCAGUAACUGGCGUUACCGUGACGGUACCUAACGAGAAAGCCACGGCUAACUACGUG
rnacentral:rRNA from 1 species